AGAGGUGGCGAGCGUUGUUCGGAUUUAUUGGGCGUAAAGCGAACGCAGGUGGUUUGGUAAGUCAGGGGUGAAAGCCCACAGCUUAACUGUGGCACUGCCUUUGAUACUGCCUUUCUUGAGUACAUGAGGGGGAAGCGGAAUUCCGAGUGUAGAGGUGAAAUUCGUAGAUAUUCGGAGGAACACCGGUGGCGAAGGCGGCUUCCUGGCAUGUAACUGACACUCAUGUUCGAAAGCGUGGGUAGCAAACAGGAUUAGAUACCCUGGUAGUCCACGCCCUAAACGAUGGGCACUAGGUGUGGGAGGUAUCGACCCCUUCCGUGCCGCAGCUAACGCAUUAAGUGCCCCGCCUGGGGAGUACGGCCGCAAGGUUG
rnacentral:rRNA from 1 species